UAUAUUUUUUCAAACAAAAUUGUGAUUUUACAAUGCAAAAGACAAAUCUUUUUCUUUAGAAUGGAGUAACAGGUUUAAUUAGCGUAUUAAUUACCUGAAAAAUAAAUACUUUCUUUAGUUGUCAUUCUUUCAUAUAGAACAGAUAUUAUUUAUUAAAUGAUCAAGAUUGCGCUGCCAAGAAUAAUAACUCACCAAUUCUUGGCGCGUGUUAUUAAUAUUGGCAGCGUUCCCAGAAUCCGUUGACAUAAUAUGAUAUUCAAAUAUAUUAGUAGGAAAGAAUACUAGUACAGCUAAUGGACAAAACUGCAAAUUUGUUAUAAUUGGCAGGUGCACGGGGCAACUCCCUUGCUUGAGCCAUCGUAAAGAUCCCCUCUUCUACCUUUCAUCGUCGGCUAAGCCGAUGCUGAUGUUGUUUCGCAUUGUCGAGUUUCAACCCCGUAAGGGCGCAUCUUUUAUUGUUGAACACCUCUCACUCGUCAUCGUUACGUUCGUCAUCAGGACUUCAGCAUGAGUGAAAAGGCUGAUCUUCACCAGGGAAAACACUGAAGUUUAAUUGCAGGUCUUUUCAAGACUUUUCUGGAGUAACUUGCAUAAUUUUUUACGCGAAUAAAAUAUUCAGAUUAUUUUAAAGUUUGGAGUUCAAAAUUAAGAAGCGAUAGAAAUUAUUUGUAAAAAAGUAUUCAUACAUUUGAUGAUAGUCGAGCGAAUUUCGAUAAAGCUAGUCCCCGGUGAGCGUUGUGCGAAGCCAGAAUUGACCUAGUUGCCUAUAAAGCGGUAGGCAAAGCGGUCCCGACGUCGCGGCGCUAUUUUUGCCUGGCGCGUCGCUAACUUUAGAUGUACGGCCGACGGACGCUCCCUAAUAAGUUCAAGCGACGAUUAUGGUGGCCGAUGCUACCACUACCGCCGCCGCAGUCGACGAUGACGACGGAUAAAACAUAACGUCCCGCCGCGAGGCAACGCCGAGCAUGCCAAAAUUAUGCCUGCCUGAAGAAAAGGACCAAAACGCGAUCGCGCGGCCGAAGACCUCGACUAUGCAACUAUGAGCCCAAUCACGAAGAGACGUCAUUCGUUCCACGUUCAUUUUAGAAAGAGCUUAAGAGAGGCGGUCGAGCCAUGUUUAAAGUUAAGCGACGUUGAGGGAGGAUCCUUAGAGAAAUGAGUAUAAUUUUAGGAACCAACUGAGAAGACAGUUGAGGGAGCAAUCCACAGAAGACGAGUCCUUUUAUGGUCAUCGAACGAUUCGCGAAGAUACUCGUUUCCUGCUCAUAAUUUUUAUGAAACGUAGAUGUACAAAAAUGAUGACUAUAAUGAAUGCGAGCAACUUGACGAUACGCCAAGAAGCAAUCUCAACUGAUACAGUGAUCGCUGAGAACUUGAACUUCUUCCGAGGAUUCAAUAAUGGGUCGAAGAACUUUUUUGAGGUAAAAACUUGAAGAGGAAGUUUCAAGUACUAUUUAGUGAGAAGUAGAACAAUGUAGAGGAAUUGCAGAAAUAAAGCUAAAGUUUACGGGAGGUAAUAAAAAAGUUCACGUAGUAAAAACAAUAGUGAUAUUAUAUGAUAUAAUGUGUAUUUGAAUUCACUUUGACAUCGUAUAACAAUAUAUAAUAACAUAAUGUAUAAUAUUUACAAAAUAAAUUAAAAUAUAGAAGUACAUUGGUAGAUACUUAGUUGCUUCGAUUAGCAAACUAGACGUAAUCAAUAUGUAGUACGUAUUAAGAGAGGGUCGAUUUCUCGAAUGUUGAUGAGAAACGCUCACGUGACAGUGAAAAAAGCCCAGCUUUCCCGUAGUAGUCUCAAGAUCGUUGCCAAGCGUAAUUCCGAGGUUUCUGCCUGUUCUUAUAUCUGCCCAGAAGAUUUCAUUCGUGGAUCAAAAGAUGCACUUGAUAGCAUCCAUCUACAUUUAUAUAUA